UUCUCUGUGAACUGUACUUUUAUGUGCCGGAACUCUUUUAUCAGCUUAACAUCUGAUACGUCCUGCAUCGCAGGACCAGAAUAUAUAUUAAACUAAUUUUUGGAACAGGGCGGAGUGCUAGGGGCUUGCCCCACCUCCGCCGCGGUUUGGCCCGGUAUUGAAGUUCCACCGGGAUCUGCCCACCACAA